GUCUGUUUCUUUGCGUGUGUGUAUGUGUGCGUGAGCCGCUGAUAACGCAGCUGAUCGGGCGAUUCCAUUGAAUUCCAGUUUUCGUUUCGAUCUGAGAAGUCCCCCGGGCGCAGAGCAUGGCCAGCAACUCCACCCAGUCCCAGCCGUCCAGGAUCACCAGCGACAUGGUCAACCAGCUGCAGCCGACGGCGCAGGAAGCGAAGCUUGCGCCGAUUCCCAGUGCACCCCAGUGGCGCUCCCCCCAGCUGAUGGUCGUCUUCGAGGACGGUGAUCUGCACUCAGCGCGCCACCAGUUGCUCCAGUCCCUGCAGAAUCCCUUUGACGAGGGAUCGGUGGCCACGUUGCUGCUCCAGGAGAGCAUUGCCGAUCAGUUUGUGGGCCUGGUGGCGCAGGAUCUGCGUCCGUUGUCGCCGGCGGUGUCCAAGCACCCGAGCUACAGCAGCUCGCUGGCCAAGAUCGAACAGCUGAAGGCCAAGACAGUACAAGGCGUAAGCCUCAAGGCCGGGGAAUCACCCGUCUUGGUGUACGACUGCGUGCACAGCUAUCUGGGCAAUGGAGCGACGGGAGUGGUGACGGUACACACUUUCCGCACAGCCAAGGAGGCCGGCGAGUUGGCCAAAAGGGAUCCCCUACCUUACGGCCAAGUUAGUCUGUGGAAUGAGAAGCUGGGCUGCGCCUACGAACUGAUACCACGACUACCGAGCGACAUUGUGGCCAUUAAUAGCUUCAAUCCGGACUUGGAUCCCAUCCGGGAAUCCUUUGCUGCCGACCGCAACGAUGUCCUGCUGGCCAAGAACUAUCACUAUGAAUCGCUGGUGGUGAGCGGCAAACGGAAGAUCAUCGUGUUUCCCGUGGGCACCAUCUUCGGCAACUGAAGAGUGACAGUGCUGGACUUCGACGUCGACGAAUCACAUCCGAUAGGAAUCACAUCCAGUGCCACACCAUUCAUGCUCCACUUUCACACGGGAGAGAGCGAGAACGCCGCAGAGCCAGCCAUUAGAGAGGGAGCGAGCUGUGGUGACUCCAAACACAGGGGCGCAGCAAAAGGGGUCACUAAACAAUGACUGGAGGACUCAAAUAACUAUGAUUCGCUAAAUAUUUAAAAUUUAAAAAAAAAAAAAACAAAGGUCUGUGCCAUCGGAGUUACAAUUCCAUCAGCAAGUUUCUAUCGCCAGAAGGUAACUACUCUUCUCACUCGAGGAACCCCCUCUGUGAUUUUGGCACGGCCCCCCAACUACGCCACUGAUACCCCUCUUGUGGUUAGAAGCUACGUUUGCUGGCGCUGCCUUUUGCUUAGGUUUGUUGUUGCGCUGUCCGUUGCCCGUUGCCAUUUGCCAGUCCGUCAGUCUGCGCUGGUUCCCGCUGGCGUGGUGAGG
rnacentral:misc_RNA from 13 species